CAGUAGCCGCGGGAAUACGAAGGGUGCAAGCGUUAAUCGGAAUUACUGGGCGUAAAGCGCGCGUAGGUGGUUUGGUAAGAUGGAUGUGAAAUCCCCGGGCUCAACCUGGGAACUGCAUCCAUAACUGCCUGACUAGAGUACGGUAGAGGGUGGUGGAAUUUCCUGUGUAGCGGUGAAAUGCGUAGAUAUAGGAAGGAACACCAGUGGCGAAGGCGACCACCUGGACUGAUACUGACACUGAGGUGCGAAAGCGUGGGGAGCAAACAGGAUUAGAUACCCGAGUAGUCCCUGUCUCUUAACA
rnacentral:rRNA from 1 species